GAUGAACGCUGGCGGCGUGCUUAACACAUGCAAGUCGAACGGUCGUAGCAAUACGAUAGUGGCGCACGGGUGAGGAACACGUAGCUAACCUGCCCCCAAGUACGGGAUAACUUCCCGAAAGGGAUGCUAAUACCGUAUAAGCUCACGCCGAGUAGGUAGGUGUGAGAAAAGGUUUACUGCUUGGGGAGGGGGCUGCGGCCCAUCAGGUAGUUGGUGAGGUAACGGCUCACCAAGCCGACGACGGGUAGGGGGUCUGAGAGGAUGGCCCCCCACACUGGGACUGAGACACGGCCCAGACUCCUACGGGAGGCAGCAGUGAGGGAUAUUGCGCAAUGGGGGGAAACCCUGACGCAGCGACGCCGCGUGGGUGAUGAAGGCCUUGGGUCGUAAACACUUUUCUGAGGGAUGAGCAAGGACAGUACCUCAGGAAUAAGUCUCGGCUAACUACGUGCCAGCAGCCGCGGUAAU
rnacentral:rRNA from 1 species